rnacentral:rRNA from 1 species
GGGCUGACGACGCUGGCGGCGUGCCUAGACAUGCAAGUCGAACGGUAACAGGGACUUCGGUCCGCUGACGAGUGGCGCACGGGUGAGUAACGCGUGGAGUUACCUGCCCAUCAGUGGGGAACAACUCCGGGAAACYGGAGCUAAUACCGCAUACGACCUUCGGGUGAAAGAGGGGGAUCUUCGGACCUCUCGCUGAUGGAUGGUUCCGCGUCCGAUUAGUUAGUUGGUAAGGUAAUGGCUUACCAAGACGAUGAUCGGUAGCUGGUCUGAGAGGAUGAUCAGCCACACUGGAACUGAGACACGGUCCAGACUCCUACGGGAGGCAGCAGUGGGGAAUUUUGCACAAUGGGCGAAAGCCUGAUGCAGCGACGCCGCGUGCGGGAAGAAGGCCUUCGGGUUGUAAACCGCUUUCAACAGGGAAGAAGGAAUGAGGGCCAAUACCCCUCUGCCUUGACGGUACCUGUAGAAGAAGCCCCGGCUAAUUUCGUGCCAGCAGCCGCGGUAAUACGAAAGGGGCAAGCGUUGUUCGGAUUUACUGGGCGUAAAGAGAUCGUAGGUGGCUUGUUAAGUCGGAUGUGAAAUCCCGGGGCUCAACCCCGGAACUGCAUUCGAUACUGGCAGGCUUGAGUUCGGGAGGGGGGAAGCGGAAUUCCGUGUGUAGCAGUGAAAUGCGUAGAUAUACGGAGGAACACCUGAGGCGAAGGCGGCUUCCUGGACCGAUACUGACACUGAGGAUCGAAAGCGUGGGUAGCAAACAGGAUUAGAUUACCCUGGUAGUCCACGCCCUAAACGAUGUCUACUAGCCGUUGCGGGUAUCGACCCCUGCAGUGGCGCAGCUAACGCGAUAAGUAGACCGCCUGGGGAGUACGGCCGCAAGCUAAGCG